rnacentral:lncRNA from 1 species
AGAUCCCACAUUCAGCCUGAUAAUGCAGACUCUUUCAAGGUAGGGAGUGUGCAUUUAAGUCCAUGAGGAGGAGCUGGCUUCGAGGACACACAACACCUCAAGGCCAGAUGGACAGGGGUUUGUCCAUCCUCGUGGGCUCCGUUCAUCCUGGGGCUCCAGCCUGUUCUUGCUUUCCCACCUGGCAGCCAUCUUCCUGGCCCCACGGACAGCCCUGUGGACUUUAAGCUCCAGUGCCAGAUGGAAAGACAACAGCCUUGGG